rnacentral:siRNA from 1 species
ACUGGGAACGGCUCUCUCGGGA